rnacentral:rRNA from 1 species
AUUGAACGCUGGCGGCAGGCCUAACACAUGCAAGUCGAGCGGUAGCACAGGAGAGCUUGCUCUCUGGGUGACGAGCGGCGGACGGGUGAGUAAUGUCUGGGAAACUGCCUGAUGGAGGGGGAUAACUACUGGAAACGGUAGCUAAUACCGCAUAACGUCUUCGGACCAAAGUGGGGGACCUUCGGGCCUCACGCCAUCAGAUGUGCCCAGAUGGGAUUAGCUAGUAGGUGGGGUAAUGGCUCACCUAGGCGACGAUCCCUAGCUGGUCUGAGAGGAUGACCAGCCACACUGGAACUGAGACACGGUCCAGACUCCUACGGGAGGCAGCAGUGGGGAAUAUUGCACAAUGGGCGCAAGCCUGAUGCAGCCAUGCCGCGUGUGUGAAGAAGGCCUUCGGGUUGUAAAGCACUUUCAGCGAGGAGGAAGGGUAGUGUGUUAAUAGCACAUUGCAUUGACGUUACUCGCAGAAGAAGCACCGGCUAACUCCGUGCCAGCAGCCGCGGUAAUACGGAGGGUGCAAGCGUUAAUCGGAAUUACUGGGCGUAAAGCGCACGCAGGCGGUUUGUUAAGUCAGAUGUGAAAUCCCCGCGCUUAACGUGGGAACUGCAUUUGAAACUGGCAAGCUAGAGUCUUGUAGAGGGGGGUAGAAUUCCAGGUGUAGCGGUGAAAUGCGUAGAGAUCUGGAGGAAUACCGGUGGCGAAGGCGGGCCCCCUGGGCAAAGACUGACGCUCAGGUGCUAAAGCGUGGGGAGCAAACAAGAUUAAAUACCCUUGGAGUCCAAGGCGAAUUCCACAGGGGAUGUCAGGCUAUCGAUGGGGGGGGUCGGUUUUGGGUACCCGGUACCCA